AAACGUCCGCGCUGAAAGACGGCCCUGUCUCUACCUGUUCAGGGAAAAACGAUCUACCUCGCCAACCGCCCCACAGGUGAGAGGACCUGUCACACCUGAGCAAACCUCGGGGAGGAUGAUCCGCACCUGGCGGGAAGUUGUUUAGACACUGACCUUUGACCCUAACACACUUCUCUGACAACAUGAGUUUUCUACAGGAAAUGAGAAGGUAUAAAACUCAUGCCCACGCCUGGGGUUCUAAAUCCUACCAAGGAAGGUAGAGAAUGUGGCUGGCUAUAACAAUCAUGGUGGUUGCUUCUACUGCCUACGUCUCUGGCCUAGUGUUCUACCCGGACCAAACCAACGCCUUCUGUGAGACCGUCACCGGCCGGAUUCAUAGAUUCAUGACCAAGGACCACAAAAAGGAGUUCAAGAAGAAGAAGAGCAAGAGAAACCCGUUCUCACGCGGGGCAAGCUCUGGAUCCGACGAAGCCACAUGGUGACUGAUGGAAAUGACGGGUAGCGGUAACUACGUAUACAUCUGUAAAUGUUAAAAGAAUACAUUCUUGAUACCAGGGUCUCUUUGUGAAUCUGGAUACGGGUUUUAAAUAGAUAGCUAAAGCGAGCCAUUUGCUUUGCCAGAAUCCGGAUCAACUAGUCUAAAUUUAAAUCAACGCAGUUUAAUCGGAAACCGCUAUGUGACGCUGUAAUCUAGAUCGGAUCAUCGACAAACAACGACAAAGCAAGGGCUAUGAAACGGUGACGUACAGCCUAAAACCGGACGAUAGGGCGUCUACAACUUAUAAUCAGUUCGCAAUCGAACCAACGUCACUGAAUUCCCACAAGCAUGAGAUUGAGAGGAGGGACGCCACGAAUACCUACAAAUACUACACUGUGUUACAAUCUCUCAUUUAUUCAAGUUGAAGUUCUGAAUUAAGGAAGUAACAUAUAGUCCUUUGGAAUUAAAUAUGAUG